AACGAACGCUGGCGGCAUGCCUAACACAUGCAAGUCGAACGAGACCUUCGGGUCUAGUGGCGCACGGGUGCGUAACGCGUGGGAACCUGCCCCUAGGGUCGGAAUAACUCCCCGAAAGGGGUGCUAAUACCGGAUAAUGUCUUCGGACCAAAGAUUUAUCGCCUUUGGAUGGGCCCGCGUUGGAUUAGCUAGUUGGUAGGGUAAAAGCCUACCAAGGCGACGAUCCAUAGCUGGUCUGAGAGGAUGAUCAGCCACACUGGGACUGAGACACGGCCCAGACUCCUACGGGAGGCAGCAGUGGGGAAUAUUGGACAAUGGGCGAAAGCCUGAUCCAGCAAUGCCGCGUGAGUGAUGAAGGCCUUAGGGUUGUAAAGCUCUUUUACCCGGGAUGAUAAUGACAGUACCGGGAGAAUAAGCUCCGGCUAACUCCGUG
rnacentral:rRNA from 1 species